CCCUUAGAUGUUCUGGGCCGCACGCGUGCUACACUGAGUGGAUCAGCGGGUCAGGUUGCGCGAAAGCGUUUCCUAAUCUUUAAAUCCGCUCGUGAUGGGGAUUGACGGUUGCAAUUUUCUGUCAUGAACGAGGAAUACCUUGUAAGCGCGGGUCAUCAUCCCGCGCUGAAUACGUCCCUGCCCUUUGUACACACCGCCCGUCGCUCCUACCGAUUGAGUGUGCUGGUGAAAUGUUCGGAUCGGCCGUUUGUCGCGGUUUCCGCGUCAUGUGGCUGAGAAGUUCAUUAAACCCUCCCACCUAGAGGAAGGAGAAGUCGUAACA
rnacentral:rRNA from 1 species